rnacentral:rRNA from 1 species
UACAGGGGGUGCAAACGUUGCUCGGAAUCAUUGGGCGUAAAGCGCACGUAGGCGGUUCGUUAUGUCGGAUGUGAAAGCCCUUGGCUUAACCGAGGAAGUGCAUCCGAAACUGGCGAGCUAGAGUACUAAAGAGGAUCGCGGAAUUCCCGGUGUAGAGGUGAAAUUCGUAGAUAUCGGGAGGAACACCGGUGGCGAAGGCGGCGAUCUGGGUAGAUACUGACGCUGAGGUGCGAAAAGCGUGGGGGAGCAAAACAGG